rnacentral:rRNA from 1 species
UAAUACGUAGGGCGCAAGCGUUGUCCGGAUUCACUGGGUGUAAAGGGUGCGCAGGCGGGACGACAAGUCAGGGGUGAAAUCUCACGGCUCAACCGUGAAACUGCCUUUGAUACUGUUGUUCUUGAGUUAGGGAGAGGUUGAUGGAAUUCCAGGUGUAGCGGUGAAAUGCGUAGAUAUCUGGAAGAACACCGGUGGCGAAGGCGGUCAACUGGCCCUCAACUGACGCUGAGGCACGAAAGCGUGGGGAUCAAACAGGAUUAGAUACCCUGGUAGUCCACGCCCUAAACGAUGAAUACUUGGUGUUGGUCUUUUUUGAUCAGUGCCGAAGGAAACCUGAUAAGUAUUCCACCUGGGGAGUACGCUCGCAAGGGUG